rnacentral:tRNA from 1 species
GAGGCGGUAGCUCAGUUGGUAGAGCAACGGACUUUUAAUCCGUAGGUCGUGGGUUCGAGACCCACCCGCCUCA